UGGCGGACGGCAUUGAGUAUCUCGCGCUACAAACAUGCUGACAUUCCGGCCUUAUUCCCGGCAAGAAGUUAUCCCACUCAGACUAAUUUUAGACAUGGUACCCACUUCUCCCGUGGGUGAUGUCACAACGGGCUUUGCGCGAAUGGUUCGCGGCGGAAGAUAAAAGUGUGUAAGUCCCCAUUGGCUAUCCACAUCGCAUCACGAGAUUGGUUAUAUCUUAGCCUGUGAACAGGCUCUCCGCGAGGCAACAUUACCAAAUCCGACCGUGGUCAUACUGGUCAGCGUGAAAUACAGGGCAGUGACGUAAGCAGACCCUUCAUCGGGUC